GGCGGACGGGUGAGUAAUGCUUGGGAACAUGCCUUGAGGUGGGGGACAACAGUUGGAAACGACUGCUAAUACCGCAUAAUGUCUACGGACCAAAGGGGGCUUCGGCUCUCGCCUUUAGAUUGGCCCAAGUGGGAUUAGCUAGUUGGUGAGGUAAUGGCUCACCAAGGCGACGAUCCCUAGCUGGUUUGAGAGGAUGAUCAGCCACACUGGGACUGAGACACGGCCCAGACUCCUACGGGAGGCAGCAGUGGGGAAUAUUGCACAAUGGGCGCAAGCCUGAUGCAGCCAUGCCGCGUGUGUGAAGAAGGCCUUCGGGUUGUAAAGCACUUUCAGUCAGGAGGAAAGGUUAGUAGUUAAUACCUGCUAGCUGUGACGUUACUGACAGAAGAAGCACCGGCUAACUCCGUGCCAGCAGCCGCGGUAAUACGGAGGGUGCGAGCGUUAAUCGGAAUUACUGGGCGUAAAGCGUACGCAGGCGGUUUGUUAAGCGAGAUGUGAAAGCCCCGGGCUCAACCUGGGAACUGCAUUUCGAACUGGCAAACUAGAGUGUGAUAGAGGGUGGUAGAAUUUCAGGUGUAGCGGUGAAAUGCGUAGAGAUCUGAAGGAAUACCGAUGGCGAAGGCAGCCACCUGGGUCAACACUGACGCUCAUGUACGAAAGCGUGGGGAGCAAACGGGAUUAGAUACCCCGGUAGUCCACGCCGUAACUUGCCUUUUUCUAGAAGCUCGGAGCCUCGGUUC
rnacentral:rRNA from 1 species